ACAUACUUGAAUCAACUCCGAUGAUAUUGCAAGAGCAAAACUGUUUCGUUGUUGUUGUUUUUAGAAAGGACAUCAAAAUGUAGAACUAUUACACACAGACCCCAGUUGUUAUUCACAGUGACCACACUUUUGCUUAUGACCAGAUGAUCACAACUCAAGAGGUACUUAAGAGGAAUGAAAUGAGCUUGUAUUUUGCCUUUGAAUAUUAGAUUGCUGGUCUCCAUAUGUAUGCAAGCUGCUGAAUCACGGCGUGAACCACUGAUUGAGCACCUGGGGAAAGGACCUGGUCAGCCUUGAGAGCACAGGUGAAGGCAAUUCAGCUGUGUGACUGGAGUGGAGCCUGGCUGCACCUCUCUUAGACCUCAUUUAAGGGCUGACUGCCACCAAGGAAGGAUCUCUGGUUGGAGAUCCUUUCCUUGUGGAGUUUCCCUUACAAGCCUAAAUCUUCAGAGAUGGCAGUGUUGAAUGCCUGUCAGCUAACAAUUACCCUCAGCACCAUGAAGACACACGGAGUUUGGAAAAAGAAAACCUCCAAAAUGACUCUUUCCUUGGCUGCGUCACAACUUUCUUUUUCAAAUUGCUCCUCGGAGAGUGAUAUGAUGAAUCUCCAAGAAAGGCUCAAGAAAAAUAAAAACUCUCAGAAAAGAGCGAGUGCUGCCAGUCCAUUUCUAUCUAAUCCAACCUUCUCAGAUCAAGUAUAUCCAGAAACACAUGGGGCCAGAUCUACUUGGUGUAGAGAAACAGAACAGAGAAG